rnacentral:rRNA from 1 species
UACGUAGGAGGCAAGCGUUGUCCGGAUUUACUGGGCGUAAAGAGCGCGUAGGCGGUCGAGUAAGUCGAAUGUGAAAGCCCCCGGCUCAACUGGGGAGGGUCAUUCGAUACUGUUCGACUUGAAGGCAGGAGAGGGCAGCAGAAUUCCCGGUGUAGUGGUGAAAUGCGUAGAUAUCGGGAGGAAUACCAGUGGCGAAGGCGGCUGCCUGGCCUGUUCUUGACGCUGAGGCGCGAAAGCUGGGGGAGCAAACGGG